rnacentral:rRNA from 1 species
AUUGAACGCUGGCGGCAGGCCUAACACAUGCAAGUCGAACGGUAACAGGAAGCAGCUUGCUGCUUUGCUGACGAGUGGCGGACGGGUGAGUAAUGUCUGGGAAACUGCCCGAUGGAGGGGGAUAACUACUGGAAACGGUAGCUAAUACCGCAUAACGUCGCAAGACCAAAGAGGGGGACCUUAGGGCCUCUUGCCAUCGGAUGUGCCCAGAUGGGAUUAGCUAGUAGGUGGGGUAACGGCUCACCUAGGCGACGAUCCCUAGCUGGUCUGAGAGGAUGACCAGCCACACUGGAACUGAGACACGGUCCAGACUCCUACGGGAGGCAGCAGUGGGGAAUAUUGCACAGUGGGCGCAAGCCUGAUGCAGCCAUGCCGCGUGUAUGAAGAAGGCCUUCGGGUUGUAAAGUACUUUCAGCGGGGAGGAAGGGAGUAAAGUUAAUACCUUUGCUCAUUGACGUUACCCGCAGAAGAAGCGCCGGCUAACUCCGU